GGCCAGACUCCUACGGGAGGCAGCAGUGGGGGAUAUUGCACAAUGGGGGAAACCCUGAUGCAGCGACGCCGCGUGAGUGAAAAAGUAAUUCGUUACGUAAAGCUCUAUCAGCAGGGAAGAAAAUGACGGUACCUGGAGAAGAAGCCCCGGCUAACUACGUGCCAGCAGCCGCGGUAAUACGUAGGGGGCAAGCGUUAUCCGGAUUUACUGGGUGUAAAGGGGGCGCAGACGGCGAUGCAAGCCAGGAGUGAAAGCCCGGGGCCCAACCCCGGGACUGCUCUUGGAACUGCGUGGCUGGAGUGCAGGAGGGGCAGGCGGAAUUCCUGGUGUAGCGGUGAAAUGCGUAGAUAUCAGGAGGAACACCGGUGGCGAAGGCGGCCUGCUGGACUGCAACUGACGUUGAGGCUCGAAAGCGUGGGGAGCAAACAGGAUUAGAUACCCUCGUA
rnacentral:rRNA from 1 species